rnacentral:rRNA from 1 species
UACAGAGGUCCCAAGCGUUGUUCGGAUUCACUGGGCGUAAAGGGUGCGUAGGUGGUGAGGUAAGUCGGAUGUGGAAGCUCCGAGCUCAACUCGGAAAUGGCAUUGGAAACUACCUUGCUAGAGGGUUUGAGGGGGGACUGGAAUACUUGGUGUAGCAGUGAAAUGCGUAGAUAUCAAGUGGAACACCAGUGGCGAAGGCGAGUCCCUGGAAAACUCCUGACACUGAGGCACGAAAGCUAGGGGAGCAAACAGG